GCGAUUCGGCAUGGUCUGAUUAUUGAUUGUCUUGUUGUUAUGUUUGGUUGAUUUGUGGCGUUGUUGGUAAAAUAUUAUUUUGUUGUUGUAAUUUUCUUUUGAUUUAAUUUUUUUGCGAUAGUUUAUUUGUACUGUGAGGGGUCGAUGUUGUUUUUUUGGAAGCAGACUUGUUUUGUUGUACCUUGUGUAUCAGGGUUCAUUGAAUUUUAUUAUUUAUUUUUAUUUCCCGAUUUUGAAAGAGUUAGUGGUUUAUUUUAGUUACUGUUUCAUAAGUAUUAAGGAUAGGCUGUUGGUAGUGAAAUGUUAUUCGUUUUUAGUGGUUUCUGGUUUUUCAAGAAAUGAAUUUAAUUCAUGCGUCUUGUUUUAGGUUUAUACUGUUGUUUAUUUGUCUUUAUUAGGCGUUAAGAUUAAGGGGGACUAGCUCCUUGUUUUGUUUUUAUAAUUUUUGUUUGUUAUUUAAUUUUGUGGAUUUUAUAGUGAUUUUCAAUUUGAUUAUGUUAAAAUUUUAUUUGUUUCUUUUGUUAUUUUGGUUUGAUUUAAUUAUUUAUUGGAAUGUUUUCUUUACUUUUUAUUGAAUUGUAAUUAUUGUGGAAUUAGUAAAUUUGUUUGUUGUGUUGUUUUAUUUUUGUGUAAUUUCUUUUGAGGAAUUAGGCAAAUUUUGUGUCCGCCUGUUUAACAAAAACAUCUUUUCUUGUUAGUUUUUGAAGUAUGGCCUGCCCGCUGACAUUUGGUGUUGAAGGGCCGCGGUAUUUUGACCGUGCAAAGGUAGCAUAAUCAUUAGUUCUUUAAUUGUGAUCUGGAAUGAAUGGCUUGACGAGGCACGGGCUGUCUUAGUGUUGAAUGUUUUAUUGAAUUUGGUCUUUGAGUUAAAAUUCUUAGAUGUUUUUGUGGGACGAGAAGACCCUAUAGAGUUUGACAUUUGGUUUAUUUACUUAUUGUUGUUUGUUUGUUUUUGGUGAGUGAGCUUUUUGUUUUGUUGGGGUGAUGGGAGGAAUGUGCUUAACUCCUCUUGGUUUUGGUUAUAUUGAUUUAUAGUUGUUUGAUCCAUUUAUUUUGAUUGUAAGACUAAAUUACCUUAGGGAUAACAGCGUUAUCUUCCUUGAGAGUUCUUAUCGGCAGGGGGGUUUGCGACCUCGAUGUUGGAUUAAGGUGAAUUUUUGGUGUAGGGGCUGAAAAUUGUAUUAGGUCUGUUCGACCUUUGGAAUCUUACAUGAUCUGAGUUCAAACCGGCGUGAGCCAGGUUGGUUUCUAUCUAUAAGUAUAGUUUUAUACCUUAGUACGAGAGGACCAGGUAUUUGGAAUAAUUUUGUUGUUGUUGAAUUUUAUUAACUGACUAUUUUGGCAGAUAAGUGCGUUGGAUUUAGAAUCUAUUAA
rnacentral:rRNA from 1 species